AUGAGUGGUGUUCCCCAGGAGUCAGUGCUGGGGCCCAUCCUCCUCAGUACCUUUACUGAUGACCCGAAUGAGGGCAUUGAGUGCACCCUCAGUAAAUUUGCAGAUGACACCAACUUGGCUGGGAGUACUGAUUUGCCUGGGGCUUUCUCAGUGGGAACCAGGCUACUGAGGCUGUCCCUCACAUACCCUCAUGCUUUACUUCCCUCUACCUCUCUCUCCAGGUGUACCUCAAGUCCCAAGACAUGUCCUGCUACACCCAGUGUGUGCCAUGCCGGCCCUGUGGUCCAACCCCUCUGGCCAGCAGCUGCAAUGAGCCCUGUGUCAGGCAGUGCCAGAACUCCACCAUUGUCAUUGAGCCCUCUCCCGUGGUGGUGACCCUGCCUGGACCCAUCCUUAGCUCCUUCCCACAGAACACUGUUGUGGGAUCCUCCACCUCCGCUGCUGUUGGCAGCAUCCUCAGCUCUGAGGGUGUGCCCAUCACCUCAGGGGGCUUUGACCUGUCUGGCUUCGGCAGCCGCUACUGUGGCAGAAGAUGCAACCCCUGCUAAAGGCGCUGGCCGUUGUCCUGGAGAAAUUCAUCCGUAAACCACAAACAUGGUUCUGAAUCAAGUAGGAAUCUAUAAGCCCCUGCUUCCAGA